rnacentral:rRNA from 1 species
AAAAGAACCCCGGCGAGGGGAGUGAAAAAGAACCUGAAACCGUGUACGUACAAGCAGUGGGAGCACGCUUAGGCGUGUGACUGCGUACCUUUUGUAUAAUGGGUCAGCGACUUAUAUUCUGUAGCAAGGUUAACCGAAUAGGGGAGCCGAAGGGAAACCGAGUCUUAACUGGGCGUUAAGUUGCAGGGUAUAGACCCGAAACCCGGUGAUCUAGCCAUGGGCAGGUUGAAGGUUGGGUAACACUAACUGGAGGACCGAACCGACUAAUGUUGAAAAAUUAGCGGAUGACUUGUGGCUGGGGGUGAAAGGCCAAUCAAACCGGGAGAUAGCUGGUUCUCCCCGAAAGCU